rnacentral:sRNA from 1 species
AUACUCCUCUCUCUGCGGGAGGAGAGACAACUGCUCAAUGAGGACUAGGAGCCCCAGGGCCCUCCUGGCAGAACUGCAAGCAGCCUGCCCUGCCUGCGUGUCAUCUCCACCCUAGCCCUCUUCGGUGAUCUGAUCUACCUCUGGUGUUUGUCCGCUCCUUGGUGGCUUUUUCAGAACCGAUUAUGGAGGAAGACGCGGUCCCGAAAUCCUGGAAGCUCCUGCAUUGGUGCUGACCCAAAUAGAAACUGGAACGCUAGUUUUGCAGGAAAGGGAGCCAGCGACAACCCUUGCUCCGAAGUGUACCAUGGACCCCACGCCAAUUCGGAAGUGGAGGUGAAAUCAGUGGUAGAUUUCAUCCAAAAACAUGGGAAUUUCAAGUGCUUCAUCGACCUGCACAGCUACUCGCAGCUGCUGAUGUAUCCAUAUGGGUACUCAGUCAAAAAGGCCCCAGAUGCCGAGGAACUCGACAAGGUGGCGAGGCUUGCGGCCAAAGCUCUGGCUUCUGUGUCGGGCACUGAGUACCAAGUGGGUCCCACCUGCACCACUGUCU